rnacentral:rRNA from 16 species
AUAUGCGAUCAUACCAGCACUAAAGCACCGGAUCCCAUCAGAACUCCGAAGUUAAGCGUGCUUGGGCGAGAGUAGUACUAGGAUGGGUGACCUCCUGGGAAGUCCUCGUGUUGCAUUCC